GUAUGGUAUGGUAUGGUAUGGUAUGGUACGGUACGGUAUGGUAUAGUAUGGUAUGGUAUGUUACGUAAAGAAGUUAUUAGUGUAGACUGGCAGACACUGAUUUUGAGGGUUCAGGUGAUGAAUAAAACACCUGACCUACGUGUCACUUCCUAUGUGUUCAUGUAUUAAAUAUAGCGGUGUUACUUUUGCAAGUAAAGCCGCUAUAAUAUAGUGGGGGAAACCCUGCAUUGUGCAACUAUGGUUCCCUGUGGUGAAGUUGUUUGUACAUGGACUAAAAGGUUUGGGGUUUGAUCCUGAAUCUCUUAUCCACAUCGGUGUCCUUGGGCAAGGCGCUGAGACCCAGGGGGUAAUGGUUCCUGACUUUGACGUUGCUGCUGGUUAUAAAUAGAGAUUUUCAAGAAGGUAAGAGACACUGGGACAUGAGCUGUUUUGGUUCCCUGUGGUGAAGCUGUUUGUAUUCGGAUUAAAAGGUCUGGGGCUGGAUCCUAAAAUCUCUGAGAAGUGAGAAGACCCAGUUGGGGACGAAGUAUUUACGUAAAUAUUUAAGGAAUGACAAGCAGAGCAGGAUUUUGAGCACUUUAAAACAGUAGAUGGUCCUGUAGGAGUACGGGAUGUGUGCGUUACCAUUAGCAACCGCUUUUAUCUGGACCGUGACAACAAAAUAUAAAUAUUACUGAGCUACCUUUGUAUAUUUAGGCCUAGCUUGAGGAGAACUCUCUGCAGUGGUCCUCUCCUUUUACAAGCCUGAUUUCAACUGCGUUGUCUUCAUGUGUGUCAUUGAACGCUAUGCUGGACCGAGCCUCUGUGGACUUUGAGGUGAUGGAAGAUGCCAAAGAGAUCUGUGGUGACAUAAACAGAACCGUCGUCUGAGCUGCUGACUUGUGAGGAAAAGGAUCAUGUGGGAAUCAGGAAGGCAGAACUUCCAUUGGAGACUUCAAUACUGGUGAAGAGCUUCCUAGGGACCGCUGAAGACAGGAAAGAGAGGCUAGAUGGAGAGCAUGUGGAGAAGCUCUGGAACUGAUUCAUUUUACAUCCAGUUUGUAAACCUCCACUUUCAGCACCACCAGUCAGGAGGAGGACAAGAAAAUCCAGUUGACAAAAAAAAGUACAGAAACUUAUAUCCACAACAAAUCUAAACAUUUCAAACAUGGAGCACAAAGAUGAGCCCAGAGUUAGAAACUGGUUCUCACUUUCUGCUGUCCAUGUUUAUUCUCCUCACUGACCCUGUUGUCUGGUCUCUGUUUUUAUUUCAUACAACUGCUGGAGAGGACCUUCUCCCCCUACUGAGCGACUGAUGAUGAUACUUUGGAGGAAAAGAUGAGUCCAUGAUUUAGCUUUGAGCAGAAAUUCACUUUCGGUCACCUUCAAUCAUCUUUUAUUAACAUAAAUAAAGGAAUCUGUCCAUGGUCAUAUGUGGAUUCCCUAACUAGGCUGAGACAAUCUGGGCCGAUGAAGAGAAAGAAGACCCAAGAGGACACGGGGGACAUCCUGUUGAUCCAAGGAUCAAAUGAUGACCAAUUUCCAUUCAGGACGGGCGGUCACCUGAGGACGGGACAGAGAAGACAGGAGCAGGAAGAGAAGAAAAUCAAGGGGACAGAAGAAAGGAAGAACAUUUCUUUCCACACAUUAACAGAACUGAACAUUUCAAUCAGAGCUGCAGAAAGAUGAGCUGAAUACUAGAAACGGUUUCAGAUCACAUGCGGUCCUGGAACCCGAUCCCAGAAGAACCAUCCUUUUGUUCUGUUGGAUCAAUAAACUUUUUAAACGAU